GUGGAUUAGAUACCCUGGUAGUCCACGCCCUAAACGAUGCGAACUAGGUGUUGGAGAAGGAGACUUCUUUAGUACCGCAGCUAACGCGUGAAGUUCGCCGCCUGGGGAGUACGGUCGCAAGAUUAAAACUCAAAGGAAUUGACGGGGACCCGCACAAGCGGUGGAUGAUGUGGAUUAAUUCGAUGCAACGCGAAAAACCUUACCUACCCUUGACAUGCCUGGAAUCCUGCUGAGAGGCGGGAGUGCCCGAAAGGGAACCGGGACACAGGUGCUGCACGGUCGUCGUCAACU
rnacentral:rRNA from 1 species